CGGCGUGGAUGAGGCAUGCAAGUCGCACGAAGAGUUUUUGCUUCGGUAAAAACUCUUAGUGGCGAAAGGGUUAGUAAUAUAUGGGUAACGUGCCCUUAACUCUGGAAUAACGGUUGGAAACGACCGCUAAUACCGGAUGUGGUGUGGCAAGGCAUCUUGCCUGCACUAAAGGAGGGGAUCUUCGGACCUUCUGGUUAAGGAGCGGCUCAUACGAUAUCAGCUUGUUGGUGUGGUAAUGGCGCACCAAGGCUAAGACGUCUAGGCGGAUUGAGAGAUUGACCGCCAACACUGGGACUGA
rnacentral:rRNA from 1 species